AGAGUUUGAUCCUGGCUCAGGAUGAACGCUAGCGGCAGGCUUAAUACAUGCAAGUCGUGGGGCAGCAGGUCUGUAGCAAUACAGAUGCUGGCGACCGGCAAACGGGUGCGGAACACGUACACAACCUUCCUUUAAGUGGAGAAUAGCCCAGGGAAACUUGGAUUAAUACUCCGUAACAUUAUGAAAUGGCAUCAUUUUAUAAUUAUAGCUCCGGCGCUUAAUGAUGGGUGUGCGGCUGAUUAGGUAGUUGGCGGGGUAAUGGCCCACCAAGCCUGCGAUCAGUAACUGGUGUGAGAGCACGACCAGUCACACGGGCACUGAGACACGGGCCCGACUCCUACGGGAGGCA
rnacentral:rRNA from 1 species